UUUGUUGGAUCUUGGGGCAGC
rnacentral:miRNA from 1 species